ACGUGAUACGCAGCUCGAGGUCUGUGCAGACGCGCCGUCGCUUCUUCCUCUUUCUCGACUCCAUCUUCGCGGUAGCGGCAGCUGGACCCACGGUUCAGUCGUCAACAUGCAGCUCUUUGUCCGCGCCCAGGAGCUACACACCCUCGAGGUGACCGGCCAGGAAACGGUCGCCCAGAUCAAGGCUCAUGUAGCUUCACUGGAGGGCAUUGCCCCGGAAGAUCAAGUCGUGCUCCUGGCAGGCACCCCCCUGGAGGAUGAGGCCACUCUGGGCCAGUGUGGGGUGGACGCCCUGACUACCCUGGAAGUAGGAGGCCGCAUGCUUGGAGGUAAAGUCCAUGGUUCCCUGGCCCGUGCUGGGAAAGUGAGAAGUCAGACUCCUAAGGUGGCCAAACAGGAGAAGAAGAAGAAGACCGGUCGGGCUAAGCGCCGGAUGCAGUACAACCGGCGCUUUGUCAACGUUGUGCCCACCUUUGGCAAGAAGAAGGGCCCCAAUGCCAAUUCUUAAGUCCUUUGUAAUUCCGGCUUUCUCUAAUAAAAAAGCCACUUAGUUCAAAAAAAAAAAAAAAAAAAAAAAAAAAAA